UACGGGGGAUGCAAGCGUUAUCCGGAUUUAUUGGGUUUAAAGGGUGCGUAGGCUGUGAGGUAAGUCAGCGGUAAAAUUGAGAGGCUCAACCUCUUCCCGCCGUUGAAACUGGUGGUCUUGAGUGGAUGAGAAGUACGCGGAAUGCGUGGUGUAGCGGUGAAAUGCAUAGAUAUCACGCAGAACUCCGAUUGCGAAGGCAGCGUACCGGCAUCCAACUGACGCUGAGGCACGAAAGCGUGGGGAUCAAACAGG
rnacentral:rRNA from 1 species